AGAGUUUGAUCCUGGCUCAGGAUGACCGCUAGCGACAGGCUUAACACAUGCAAGUCGAGGGGCAGCGGGGUAGUGCUUGCACUACUGCCGGCGACCGGCGCACGGGUGAGUAACACGUAUGGAACCUGCCCGCAGCAGGGGGAUAAGCGGAAGAAAUUCCGUCUAAUACCGCGUAAGAACGUUGGGAGGCAUCUCCCGAUGUUUAAAGAUUUAUCGGCUGCGGAUGGCCAUGCGGCGCAUUAGCUAGUCGGCGGGGUAACGGCCCACCGAGGCGACGAUGCGUAGGGGUUCUGAGAGGAAGGUCCCCCACACUGGUACUGAGACACGGACCAGACUCCUACGGGAGGCAGCACUGAGGAAUAUUGGUCAAUGGCCGAGAGGCUGAACCAGCCAAGUCGCGUGAGGGAAGACGGCCCUACGGGUUGUAAACCUCUUUUGUCGGGGAGCAAAGCGAACCACGUGUGGUUCAUUGAGAGUACCCGAAGAAAAAGCAUCGGCUAACUCCGUGCCAGCAGCCGCGGUAAUACGGAGGAUGCGAGCGUUAUCCGGAUUUAUUGGGUUUAAAGGGUGCGCAGGCGGAGGUGCAAGUCAGCGGUCAAAUUGCGGGGCUCAACCCCGUACUGCCGUUGAAACUGCAUCCCUUGAGUGCGCGAAAAGUAUGCGAAAUGCGUGGUGUAGCGGGGAAAUGCAUAGAUAUCACGCAGAACUCCGAUUGGCGAAGGCAGCAUACCGGCGCGCAACUGACGCUCAUGCACGAAAGCGUGGGUAUCGAACAGGAUUAGAUACCCUGGUAGUCCACGCAGUAAACGAUGAACACUAACUGUUCGGCCAGAAUGAUGGCUGAGUGGUACAGCGAAAGCGUUAAGUGUUCCACCUGGGGAGUACGCCGGCAACGGUGAAACUCAAAGGAAUUGACGGGGGCCCGCACAAGCGGAGGAACAUGUGGUUUAAUUCGAUGAUACGCGAGGAGCCUUACCCGGGCUCAAACGACACAGGAAUACUUUUGAAAGGAGGUAGCCCUACGGGGUCUGUGUCGAGGUGCUGCAUGGUUGUCGUCAGCUCGUGCCGUGAGGUGUCGGCUUAAGUGCCAUAACGAGCGCAACCCCUAUCGCCAGUUACCAUCAAGUAAAGUUGGGGACUCUGGCGAGACUGCCGGCGCAAGCUGAGAGGAAGGCGGGGAUGACGUCAAAUCAGCACGGCCCUUACGUCCGGGGCGACACACGUGUUACAAUGGCAGGUACAGAGAGAAGCCAGGUGGUGACACCGAGCGGAACUCGAAAGCCUGUCUCAGUUCGGAUCGGAGUCUGCAACCCGACUCCGUGAAGCUGGAUUCGCUAGUAAUCGCGCAUCAGCCAUGGCGCGGUGAAUACGUUCCCGGGCCUUGCACACAACGCCCGUCA
rnacentral:rRNA from 1 species